AAAAAAGAAAGCAAGAAACAUACUUGAUCUUCGACAAGUCUUUGAGGGUAUCAAUUGAAUCCUUGGCGUCGCAGACAUUUCUGUAGGCUUUAACAAAUUUCAUCUCCUGAUAUUCGGACAAACCCUUGGGCUUAUGAUCGCGUUUGUUGGACAUGGGCCUAGCCCCUUAUAUCUUAAGAGGCCCAAAACAGAUAUGCACAAGUUUAAAAAAGGCUUCAACUACUAAAAAGGCCCGUUAAGUUUGGAAGGGCAAAAAUAUAAUUUACAGAGGAGACAUAAGGGAUUUUAGGGUUUAGAUUCUCUAUAAAUACUCAAGCAUUAUUGGGAAGGGGAGAAAUCCAGAGGUGAUUAGCUGAGAGACAAAAAGAAUCGUUGCCUUGCCCAGAAUCGUUACCUUGCCCGAAAUCGUUGCCUUGUCCAGAAUUGUUGCCUUGCCUGAAAUCGUUACCUAACCCGACAUCGCCGCCUAGCCCGAAAUCAUCGCCUCGCCCAUUUCUGCACUUUGUCUUUCUGCUUUUACGAUUAAGUCUCGGUUCGGGGGAUAGUCUAUAACCUCCACUCAACCUAGCAGCCAUCCGUGCCGAGCAGGAUCCCUCGCGCCGCAUCUUGUUCACACCAGUCACAGGAGGCGAAACGGAUCAUGUUCAGGUCGCACGACCUCCCGCAGCGCCUACCGCCCUCGCAGCAACAGCAGCAGACGAAGCAAUUGCUACAACAAAAACAGCUAAAGGUACCGCACAAAGAUGUACCACAUCAGCAGAUCGAGGCACCCACUUAGACGACCUCGUUCAAACCAUCCUUGAUCGGCUCGACGGACAGGAAGCACGAACGAUCGAACGGAUUGACGCUCUUGUGGCAGCACAAGUCACUUCCCAAAGUCAGAUCGAGCGACUUCGACGCCGAAAACGCACCUCCCAACCUCAUGAAGAUCAAGAUGGACAACAAUCUCCACGAACUCCAGUCCCAGAACACUCGGAGACCAGACGCCGCGGACCAGCGUCUCUUAUCGUAGGAUUCAUUGACGAGCAUUCUCGCGGUAGCCCACAAGAUGACCGCAACCUGCAGAGCGGCCAUAACUUAAAGGGAGUCACAACAUGCAGAAUGGCCAUGACUUGCAAGGCGGCCACAACUUGCAGAGCGGCCACAACCUGCAGAAUGGUCAUGACUUGCAGAGCGGCCACAACUGCAAAGAGGCCACAACCUGCAGAACGGCCACAACCUGAAGAACGGCCACAACCUGCAGAACGGCCACAACCUGCAGAGGGGCCACAACUUGCAGAACGACCACAACUUGCAAAGCGCCCACAACUUGCAGAGCGGCCACAACCUGCAAAACGGCCACAACUUGCUCAGCGCCAACUAUUUGUCGAGCGGUCACAAUCUGCCGAACAUCCGGAACCUGCCAAACAGCAACUAUCAGCCAAACAUUCAUAAUCUGCCGAACGAUCACUAUCUAUCGAGAAGUCAAAAUCUGACAAGGAGCCAUAAUCUUCUAAAUAACCGAACUCCAGAGAACAAACAAAUCUUCUCCGACCUACCUGUCGACGAUGAAAACCAACCCCGCGAUCACGAGCUUGCACGAUUGAACGCGGUAAUAAGAGAGAUGUCCUCCAAAAUGCAUCGUGCCACAACUACAGCACCCGAACUGGAAAAGGUGUUGGAUGAAACAAAACGCUCACCCUUCACAGCGCGCCUCUCGGCAGUCCACGUUCGUCAUGUUAACAAAGUCAAGUUAAUACCGUACAAUGGUCUUACCGACCCGAAAAUCUUCCUUAAGUCAAUGUACAUUGCUAUCAACGGUGCACAUUUCUCUACUGAAGAAGCGAUGCUGGGAGCUGCCAAAUGUUCGUGGAAAAUUUGACCGCAAGCGCGCUUAAUUGGUUCUCACGGAUCAAAGCUAAUUCGAUCGAUAGCUAUCGAGAGCUUACGUCUGUAUUCCUGCAACACCACUCGUUUUUCAUGAUCAAGGAAGCUACAAACGCUGACUUAUGGACCAUGUUUCAGAGAGAUAACGAACCGCUUAGAACGUUUAUCGAGAGAUUCAAGAAGGUCGUCUCAAACAUAGCUAUUAAAGACGACGCGGCUAUCGGAGACCUUCGAAAUGCGUUAAUGUUCGUUUCACGGUUUCGAGAAGAUCUUAUCAUCGCUCGACCAUCAACUUUUGACGAUGCUUUGCACCGAGCCAACCGUUUAUAUCGAGAUUGAAGAAGAGAAGGCCGAGAUGGAUCGACAGCUGAAAGCAUCUAACGCAAAGAAACGAAACUACUACUAAGCGUUGCCGCAAAAAAAAAAAAAAAAAAAAAAAAAAACACGCUAGGUCUACCUAGCUUUGCCUUUGUAAAAUAAAUUAUGGAUGACUUGAUUAUUUUCUAAAGGUACGUGAGCAGUCCUUCACAAGACACAACCGUCUCAAAC
rnacentral:sRNA from 1 species